CAGCAGUCGCCGCGGUAAUACGGAGGGAGCUAGCGUUGUUCGGAAUUACUGGGCGUAAAGCGCGCGUAGGCGGUUACUCAAGUCAGAGGUGAAAGCCCGGGGCUCAACCCCGGAACUGCCUUUGAAACUAGGUGACUAGAAUCUUGGAGAGGUCAGUGGAAUUCCGAGUGUAGAGGUGAAAUUCGUAGAUAUUCGGAAGAACACCAGUGGCGAAGGCGACUGACUGGACAAGUAUUGACGCUGAGGUGCGAAAGCGUGGGGAGCAAACAGGAUUAGAUACCCCCGUAGUCCCUGUCUCUUAUAC
rnacentral:rRNA from 1 species